UACGAAGGGGGCUAGCGUUGCUCGGAAUCACUGGGCGUAAAGCGUGCGUAGGCGGUUCGUUAAGUCUGUUGUGAAAGCCCCGGGCUCAACCUGGGAAUGGCAAUGGAUACUGGCGAGCUAGAGUGUGUCAGAGGAUGGUGGAAUUCCCGGUGUAGCGGUGAAAUGCGUAGAGAUCGGGAGGAACAUCAGUGGCGAAGGCGGCCAUCUGGGACAACACUGACGCUGAGGCACGAAAGCGUGGGGAGCAAACAGG
rnacentral:rRNA from 1 species